rnacentral:rRNA from 1 species
AUGGCCACGGCCGGCAUACUGCUCUGCCAUCCGCACCCGCACGCCUACGCCGCCAAGCCCCAUGAUGAUGAUCGGCGGCGGUCGUCCUCCUUCUUCGUGGGCCUGUCCAAGCACCUGCGCCUGACGACGCAGGAGUUCAAGGACGAGGUGUACAUGUACGCGUUCUGGAGGCCUGGCAUGGAGCUGGACGUCUCGCACACCCGAAGGAAGGACCUGCCGCCCUAUGUGCUGGAGCAGAUUCUCUCCACUGAUCGUCUCAAGAGGAAGCGCUCCGACGAUGAUUCCGGUAACUCCGAGUCGAGCCCGGUCAAGAGGGCGGCAGCGGCAGGCAGAAUCGAGUCUUCACCAGAGAGCGAGACUUGA